GUGUUGUACUUUUAGAAUUAAUUAUCGGGAAAAAGCCUUCUGCGACAAAUUUUAACAUCAUUGAAUGGGUAAGAACCCGAAUUAAAUCAGCUUUGAGCAAGGGAAAAUAUGAAGAUCUUGUUGACUCCAAAUUAACAAGUUAUCCAGCAGAAGAAAUGAAACGCAUGAUUUAUUGUGCUAUAGCUUCUAUAUUUAAACCUUCAAAGUUUCGUCCAAA
rnacentral:misc_RNA from 1 species